rnacentral:snRNA from 1 species
GUACUUACCUGGCAGGGCAGAUACCAUGAUCACAAAGGUGGUUUUCCCAGGGCAAAGCUUAUUCAUUGAACUCCAGAUGUGCUGACCCCUGCAAUUUCCCCAAAUGUGGGAAACUCGACUGCAUAAUUUGUGGUAGUGGGGACUGCGUUGGCACUCUCCCCUG